rnacentral:tRNA from 1 species
AAAGAAUUAAUUAAAUUAUAUAAUAUUAGUAUGUCAUACUAAAAUAAUUAGCCAUUAAACUAAUAUUCUUUU